UUUUUGUGAAAGGGUUCCAGGACAGAGGCAAAGAGGGGAAACAAGGAUAUGACAGCCAGGAGAUCCAGAUGCUCGUAUCUCGAUGUUUUCUCGUUUGGGACUCGGCACGACAAGGCUGGACUCUCUGGAAAAGAGCGACGGAGGGAACGUUGCAGGGAACAGCAGAAGAGAAUGAGCAGCAACCAGACGGAUGGACUCGGGCACAGUGAAAGUGAACGCAAGGGACAUGAAGGACAUGAGUGGAGCGCAGAACUUUCUGGAAGGACUCAAUAUACGUGGCCAGCAAGAGUGGACAUGGACCCAACGACACCAAACGACAACUCUAAUAUUGGAGAACCUGCUGGGGAAGGUGACACUGCAGCGCUGGGACUCAACUAUGACGCUCUUCCGUGAUCCCCGGUCACAACUGCUCCAGAUGGACAACAGGAGGAUAAGUUUCUCGAACGCCAGAAUGGCCACGGGGGAAGCUGACAGACGAUUUGGAGACGGACCGAGCCGGGACAAGCGGGACCCAUGGAAAAGAUGCAAAAUCGUCCAUCACAACCUCAAGCUGGGGAAAGGUCAAGCAAUGGAGACCUGGCGUGUACCGCUGUUGGAACCGCGAUCCGGGCAUGUUUCCACACGUGGCCAGCAGACGGCUCGCCUGUCCCACGUCCUUGUGGAUUCCAGCCAUUACCCUGGAAGCUCGGUGACAGCGGCAGCUGGGCUCCACGCUGAGGUGGCCACUGGACAGCAAGGCUGGUGUUUAAUCAACAGCAAAGUGGACGUCAGGCUCUGUGUCCCAGUCUGGACGAAAUGAAACCCGACAGUCUUCCGAAAACCUAUUUCAGGUGCAAUCAUGAAGCUGCAAAAUGUUCAUUUUCCUUGCAGAGUUAACUGUGUUGAUGCCAUUAAAUAGGGAAGUGAUGCAUAAAUGUGUGGUGUGAGAAAUAUGGCCUCCCGAUAUUUCUGACAACACAUCAGAUUUUCCUUGCAGUUGGUGAGUUAAUACUGGAUUUACUGGAAUUUUUUUUUUUUUUUUUUUUUUUUUUUUUUUUAAAUCUUGUAAAAUUUCUGUAGCUCCAGCAAACUUCCCUCACUGAAUAUUUGUUAUUCUUUGUCAAGUUUGCAUUUAUUAGUGAGAAGUUCUGAGAAGCGGUUGCCUUUGGAUCCAAAGGUCGCAGGUUCAAAUCCCACCUCUGGCUGUAGCACCCUUGAGUACCAUACUUACUCUGAAUUGCUCCAGUAAAAUAUCCCAGCUGUAUAAAAAAACAGUUUAAUGACUGUUAAUAACACUACAGAUUAUUGUGCUGGAAAAGCCACUAGUUCUGUGUGGGUUUUAGUUCUUUGUCAUGACUUGCGAGGUUCCGGAACGGAAAGGAGCUGUUUAAGCGGCAUUUGCUGAAGGCCCAUCUGGAGCAGACCGGACCCGAGGACGAGGUCCCUGCCACAGGUCGCCUCUCGCUCGCCGCGCUGGGACGGCGGCGUACCGCAGCUCCCGAGCCCAGUAGUUUUACUCGACCUCCCCGUGUGCAGCACGCUGUCCAAUUUCCCCCUUUUUUGGACCUCGCACGUCGAUUCUUGCCAUAAUUAGAUUAUGUUUCUGCAGCUGCUUGAGCUGGAAUUAGUGGGCGAACGAGCCGAGGAAGCUUAUUAAUUCAUCCUUCAUCCCGGAAUCUCCUCUGUUCACUGAACUGGGAGUAAAGAGCCGUCGGGAAGCGGAACAGAAACACAAGGGGGGGAGGAAGAGAGAAAGUGGACAACGGGAGCCACGAAGCGAUUUGGACAGGCUUGAGGGACAAGGGUGUCCACCACACGGCUCUUUUCCGACACAAGGCACGAGGGCUACCGGGGCCUCUCAGCGGCUAGUUUGCAACGUCCUGUUGAGGCUCCGGAACAUUAUUCGAACAGCACCUGAAACGUGGCUGCGUUUUGAGGCCUUUCUCAGCAAAAACGAAGGGAAACGUCCACGGCCCAGAUGAGUUCUCGGAAGACGCUCGUCGGUGUCGAGGCGUCGGCAGCGAUGCCCUUCGACUGGAGGUCUGCGCCGAUGCAUGCGGUGAGAAGGGAGGUAACGAGAGCAGAGACGGGGGAGGUGAGCGCGGCGGACAUAACGAUAAAUGAGAGCGAAAUAAGAAGCGGAGACUUGCCGCUACAAUUCGCCCGUUUAAAUGAUGCGAGUCGGUCACGAUGGCCUUGUCCCCGGACAGGAGAAGGGACUGCUGGGAAGUUGGCGAAGAGCCUCCUACCCAACUGUGGUCUCGCCGCUUGUUUUUGCCCCCGAAUGAGCAAAUCUAAAUAUAUGCAAACAAUUUUUUUAAUGUCACAUCUAAAAAAAAAAAAAAAAAGUUUAAUCGUGCGUUGUAAAUGCCCACAAUUAAAAUAACUAUUAUUUAGCUAUUGAUUAAGUAUUAUUUCACACUGAUUUACUCUUUUACGCAGCAGGGUGAUAAUUACUCUAUCAGAUCCUGGUAAGCGGUUUAUGGUCCCCGUAGCACUACGGUAAAUACGGUUUCGGUUUGCAUGUCAGAUUGUAGCUGCGCAGCUGCCGUACGGCGCAGUGAAGACAGGUAGGGAACGGCAGAUUGGGUAACCGGGGAAGCGUUUCUGACAGCGCGCCACGUGCGCUCGGCGGCACGGCGAUCCCAUUAGCGAGGACGGAUUAAAUAAGAGCUGCACGGUGAAGUAAAGCGGAGGCGACAGCGCCGCUCCUUUGUCAGCGCGUGUAAAAAAUCGGGGGCUAAUUGCUGAUGAGGGGCCACUUUGCCGCCGACGACAGUGCGGCCGAGGCCUUGCCAUCGCCGCGGAGAUGCGCGGAGGCCAUUCCGUCUGCCACCGAUGGCCGGGCCUCGCCCCCGGCGCACCCGCCGCACGGCAGCCUCCCCUGUAAGCGCUAAUUGGAUUUUUGUCGUCUUUUAUCUGCCUCCUCGCUCUGUCUAAUGAUGGCCUGCACUACGUCGCUGUGCGCACCCCUCCCAGCCCCUUCCCGCGUAAUUGGCUCCUAUUACUGAUCGUGCUCCUUACGCCCCCCUUAUCUUCCUCUUAUCCUGCUGUUACCACAAUGUGCCGUUGCGUGCGUGCGUGUGUGUGUGUGUAUAUACGUAAAUAUUUAUUUUUUUGGGUGACGUGUUGCUCGAUACUCUUAUUGGCUUUCUUUAGAUGCUUCAUACAUAGUGUAUGCCUUCAGCACUUAGGCGCGGGAGAGACGUGUCCUGACAGCGGUCGAUGCAUCGCAUGAAAGCAGAUGUGACGGCGCACUUUCUGCAAAUCGUACCGCGGUUCUCCUGCCUCUUUCACCUCCUGAUGGAGCACGAGAAGCAGAGAGAUGAAUUGGACUUUUAGGUGUGCGCGCGGGCGCGUGCGAAGGCCUUAAUAUGAACCAUCUGAAACAUUUAUACCGGGGGAGAGAAAUUAUCCAAAUAAAUAAUAAAUGUUGAUCGCGUCGAUGCCGAGU
ensembl:lncRNA